UUAACUCAAAUUUGUAUGCAGUUGGAACAGCGCCCCUAGCGGCAAACGUUCCAACUCCAUACAAAGUUGAGUUA
rnacentral:pre_miRNA from 1 species